GCCCCCAUCAUGGGCGGCCCGCGGCUGCUGAGGCCCUGCACGGCGCCCAGCCCUCCGCCCGUGUAGUCCUGCACGAACCAGCGGAAGCUGAGGAUCUGCACCAGCACCGAGGGCAGCAGCACGAAGGCCAGCGUCAGGCCGCACCAGACGUAGUCCCGCCGCCCGUAGUGGUGCAGCGCCAGCCACAGGCUGAAAGAAUUUGACUUGCUCCCUUCAGCAAAAGUGAGAAUGGAGGGGGAGUGUGUUUUCUGUAUGUAAGUACAUUCCGGAAAGCAGAUGGGAAGGGUGUGACACUGAGGGGCAGCAGUAGAAGAGCAAAGGAGUAGGAACCGGUCGUGAGUAUAUCUGGUCUAGAAACCAUAAGAUCCUUCCAGUCAGAGAGAAAAAAAUAAGUAGUUGACAUUAACACAUUGCUUUGCAAUUUUACAGAGGAAAUGACAUACCAGUGUGAGAAAAUAAACAGUUGGGAUGAGAGACCUUGAAAGGUUUUCCUGCCCGGAUCAUCUGUCCUUGGAAAGAUCUUGUCCAUUCUGAUGCGUGAAGCAGCAGUGAGCCACCAGGAAGAAGAGGCACGUCUGGUGCUCCGGCAGUGCCCAGUAAAGCACGGCGUGGAAUGGUGCCCUUCUCUUGUUGGUUGGUUAAAGGCUUUUUUUGUCUCAAUCAAUACACUAAUUGAGUUGUGUGGUCUUCCAUCUUCCAGGCAUUUAUUCAGAUCAGGGGAACAAACACUAUAUAUAGAGAGGUAUGUAAGCCAGAAUCAGAGUUGUGUAAAUCUGGAACUACCUCAUUUAAAUAACUGGGGGAUCCAACUGGGUAUCUGGUAGAUGUGUAGUACUCUGCUACCAGCCCAGGUAAUCACAAUUAACAGGGAUUUACUUUAAGCAAAGUAGGUCAGAAAAAUGACAUUUUAUUGUGUCAUUAGUUUCCAUCAAUUACUUCCAAGUUGUUUGCUCAGUUCCCAACUCAAACGAGAGUGGGCUAACUGACAGCCUUGCAAGCUCAACUUGGUAUUGUCUCUAAAAAUCAAACUGCAUUAUUUCUGCCUCAUGCAUCAUCACUAACAAUAAAGCAUCCACUGUUAGAAUAUAGCAGGUGGCUUUGUUAUUCAUGCAUGAGACAAAGAAGACUCUGGCUUCUUUUGUCACGAUGCUAAGGUCUCUGCAGUACUGAAAGUUGGGUGUGUUGAUAAACUUGAUAGCUAAUGUGUGAGCCUGACAAGAGGACGCACCUGGGUCAAUCCUUCUGCCUGUACUUUCUGUUAGACUCAAUGAAUGCUUCAUGUAUAUGCUGGGGGAGGAUUAACACAGUGCUGUUUUAACUGGUGUCUCCCUGUAGCAGCACUUUGUGAUAUUAGCUUCUCUAGGAAAGGUGUGGAAGUUGCCAAAUGUUAUAUAUUAAAAAGCUAGCUCACAGUUAUCCAAAGAACUGCCUGUUUGGUGAAGUUUCUGGGUUCCAACACUUUGGUUUUAUUUGGGGGCUUAGGUUUAGAGCUUUCAGUUAAAAAAUCCAAUCAACUGAUCCAAUCCAAUCAAGUGUUAUUAGUGGCUAUCUAUAAUGAUGUGUUAAUGAUCACCCAAAUGUGGUGUGUCCUCACAGCUAGACCUAGUGCUUGACUUCUAUAAUUCCAUAUGCAAAAGAGUAGUUUUGAAUCAUGCAAUCAUACAGUCAUUAAUGUUGGAAAAGACCUCUGAGAUCUUCCAGUCCAACCCCAGCCCACCCCCACCGUGCCCACUGACCACAUCCCUCAGUGCCACAUCUCCAGAUUGAACAUCUCCAGGGACCAUCAUCUCUGGACAGCUGUGUCACUGCAUCACCACUCUUUAGGAGAAGAAAUUGUUCCUAAUAUCCAACCUGAACCUCUUCUGGGACAAUGUUUUACCCCUUCCUGGAAGAAUAUGUUCGUGCUCCAGUGGUCCAGCCAGGGACUUUGCAGAAGGCAAAGUAAAUAUCCCUGGUUUCAUGAGCAGAGAUUUUAGCAGGAUGGAGGCUAUCACAGAGGAACAGCAACUUAAGCAAGAGGUUGUUCCUUAAAAAUGGAGCCCUCUUUAUGGCUGUGUUUUUGUCAAGAUGGAAUGCUAUACCCUAAAUACACUGCUAUACCCUAGAGAGGUUGUGAAGUUCGAAUUAUGUCCCUAAAAUGUGUUCAGGUUCUCAGCUGCUGCAUGAUAAAAGACAGAUAAUAUUUCUCUACUAAAUAAUUACAGGAAUCCCAUGUUUUCUUCUAUUGGACAGUAAUAUUUUAUUUAAACCUCUUUACACCUCCUGACAAAUUUAAUAAUUGGUAUGGUCCUGGGAAAGUUAGAAAACUUCACAGCUCCCAUUAUCUAGAUCUUACCUGCGGUGACAUGGUUUAUUCAGCUCUUCUCAGGCUUCCUUUAAUCUCCUGAGAGCUGCGACUGUGUUCAUUUAUUACAGUGCAUCAAAAGGAACCUGUCUCUCUGCUUUCAGAAAAGUGCCUUUACUGGGACACCUUUUAGAUGCAAUCAGCUAACCCGGUGACAUCGGAUGUGUGAUCGUAGGGCUUCCUGGGGAGUGGUCUGUGCAGAAGAAGGUGACUGCAAGAAGCUUUCUGACCUGCCUGCCUUUUCUUUCCAUAGUCUUGUUAAACCAAGCACAGGCUAAUCCCUCAGCUGUGCUCUUAGAGGUACUGGCUACUCGGCAGGAAGGAGCAACCUGACUUCAUCAGGCAGAAGAGGUGAUGAGUGAUGCAGGGAAGUGUGUUUCUUCCCUCAGAAGAGCAUUAACAGCUAAGACUUCCAGUCUGAUGGACUUACUUGGUGCUCUUCCAAGCUGAGAUUUAGGAAAAGCAACUACACAGCAUUUCCUACUUCCCCCCAUGGGACCCCAGUGAUUUAAUUGGCUAUGAAGAGCAGGGAUGUAUCUCAUACAGUAGCUGGCUGUUGUUGUCAGCGUGCCACGCUGCUAUUCGAAGCUCAGUGAAAAGAGAAGUUAUCAAGCAGUUCUUCCCCUUCUGAACUGAGCACAUGGGAAGACUGGUCACUCUGCCCACAGGAAUCGCACGUGGCAGGUAGAUUUUUGUUCUUCUAGGUUACUGGGAAAGCCAAUGCAUCGCCUUUGGUCAUGAGAGCAAGUGGAGCUGGAAUUCACACCUUAACUAAGGUGAAGUAUACUCCUCAUGACACAAAUCCCUUUCCACGUAAACACACUGAUGUUAUAAUACGUGAAAGCUCUGUAGCCUCAUCCAAACCCAUGCAUGUAACAGGGUAAUGUAUUUUCUAUAAUUAAUGCUUGCCACUACAGAUUGCUUAAUUCAAUUCAUGACCUCUUCUAUCAAGCCAAAUAUAGACAGAAUAUUGCAUUCAUUCCAACCUGCAUGGGUUUCCUUUGGAAAAUAAGAAAAUGGUUGCUGGCUAUAACAGCUCUGGUAACUUCAGUCUCCCAUCUCCUUUUUCCUGAAAUAUCAGCCCACUCAUUGCUCCUCGGUGGUGUGGGCUUCUCAGUCCUUCUUUCAGACAAGGCACUGCUGAGAAAUCAUCUUCCCCACUGAUUUCCCACUGAUCUUAUGAGAUGUCAUGGCAGUUAAGGUUGGUUGUAUCUUUGCAGCCCUUGUCUUUCAUGAUGAACCUCAUGGUAUGGCAUGAUAUCUCAAUUACAUGCCCUUUUGUGCUCAGUAAACCCUCGGCUCCACUGCAACCACCAUUUCUACCGCUUCGGUCCUGAACAAAAUGCCUCCAUCUGGUAGAGCUCGUGUUCUGUGUCAGUGGAUUUAGCUCUAAACCAAGACAUCUAAUUGUACAUGUCCAUGGGUGAGUUAUUACAUAUCUGAGUUCCAUAGUCAAGAAGGAGCUUACUGCUGGCUCUGGGCAGUUGACCACGUGUAGACAGCCAGUGCCAUUUGUGAGGCCCUAGGAUAUCUCACCAGGCCUCCAGCUGAUGCUCCAAAUGGGCUUCGAUCUUUUUUACCUCCAGUAUCAUACCUGUCAGUUGGAUCAACAUGUCCAAGCCACCUUUGGGCACCUUAAAUAGCAUUAGACACUGGGAGAUUGCACCAGAGUAUUUUGCCAUUAGGAGCAGGGUUAGGCCUCCAGUGCGCAUUUCCUAUUACUUAUACUGGUUCUAGGGACGGGUAGGAUCAGCUUCUUCUCAACAGCAGCAGAAGUAACAAGAUGGCAUCACCAUUUCCCUUUCUAUGAUUUUAGUGCUUUAAAAUAAUUUGACUAUGUGCAGGUGAUUUAAUAUCUCAGGGGACAGAUGCCCAAGUUUGAAAUGGAUGCUUAAGGUCUCACUUCCAUAACAAAAAUGAUCAUGUGGCUCUUCCACACAGUGUCUAAAAAUUAAGUAGUGCUAUUCUGAAGUCUCGGUUCAGGCACACACUGUGCUUUCUAACAUGGGCACGUCACCAACGUCUCUAACUUUGGCAAAUGCUCCUAUCAUUUCUUCCAUCUGCCAGCAGAAACAAUAUUUCUGAAUCUGUUAAUUAAGGAACUGAAGUUUUGCCCUAAGAUACUGGAGUAACUUGUUCUGUUUUCUACAGCAAAACUAAUGCUUGCCUUGUCCAUAAUUAUCUAAAUUGCUGAGAAAAAAAUUAUUCAGCUUUCAUGUUGAUUCACUUUUGUAAUUUCAUUGCCGAGGCUAAGUGUGGCACCAUAUAAAUUAUCCCCUACUCUCAUUUUACUCAAGACAUGUUAUUUGCUAACAAAGAUUCGAUAAGGAAAAAUGGGAAGGUGACAACUACCUCCUUCAUCAAUGCAAAUGACAAUAAUCUCCUCUCCUUCGCCAUGUGAAAAUAAACAUUGAAUCAUCCCAGAUGGAAAUGCCCUUCUGCAUUUAGAGGUACGGAUAUGGGAAGGGAACACCUGCUCUCAUUUGUGUAGUCGUAACAUUCAAGUUUAGCUAGCCAUUCCAUGGAAAAUACUUCAGUGGUAUAAGCGCAGUCUGAAAUUGUCACCACUGUUUUUCUCAAGAAUCUGUACAUUCUUCAUUAUUUUGUGCCAUUUGCAUUUGUAAAUGGAAGAUUAAUUUCUGUUCUUAUUAAAUAAUCAACAUGGUGUUCAGU
ensembl:lncRNA